rnacentral:rRNA from 1 species
UACGUAGGGUGCAGGCGUUAAUCGGAAUUACUGGGCGUAAAGCGUGCGCAGGCGGUUUCUUAAGUCAGAUGUGAAAGCCCCGGGCUUAACCUGGGAACUGCGUUUGAAACUGGGAGACUAGAGUGUGGCAGAGGGGGGUGGAAUUCCACGUGUAGCAGUGAAAUGCGUAGAUAUGGUGGAGGAACACCGAUGGCGAAGGCAGCCCCCUGGGUUAACACUGACGCUCGAUGCACG